rnacentral:rRNA from 1 species
GACGAACGCUGGCGGCGUGCUUAACACAUGCAAGUCGAACGAAAAUACCAAGCUUGCUUGGUUGAUUAGUGGCGAACGGGUGAGUAACACGUGAGUAACCUGCCCCUUACUUUCCUGGAUAACUGCUCGAAAGGGUAGCUAAUACGGGAUAUUCUGGCCUUCCUGCAUGGGUUGGUUUGGAAAGGUUGUUUUUCUGGUAAGGGAUGGGCUCGCGGCCUAUCAGCUUGUUGGUGGGGUGAUGGCCUACCAAGGCUUUGACGGGUAGCCGGCCUGAGAGGGUGGACGGUCACACUGGGACUGAGAUACGGCCCAGACUCCUACGGGAGGCAGCAGUGGGGAAUAUUGCACAAUGGGCGCAAGCCUGAUGCAGCGACGCCGCGUGAGGGAUGAAGGCCUUCGGGUUGUAAACCUCUUUCGUCAGGGAACGAGGCACUGCUUUUUUGGUGGUGUUGAGGGUACCUGGGAUAAUAAGCGCCGGCUAACUACGUGCCAGCAGCCGCGGUAAUACGUAGGGCGCAAGCGUUGUCCGGAAUUAUUGGGCGUAAAGAUUUCGUAGCUGGCUGGGCUCGUCUUGUCUGGUAAACUUCUCGGUGCUACCUGGUGCUUGCGGUGGUGACGGGGCCUGCGUGAGUUUGGUUGGGGUACUGUAACUCCUGUUGAGCGGGGAAGGGGUAAUUGCAGUGAAAACCCCAUUGCUAUGCCUGUACUGUGGUGUUUCUGGGGUGAUGUAUGGUAAAUGGAGGAGCGUGCGGAGUGUUUUGCCUGUGUGUCAAAGUGGAUUUGUGGAGUGAUGUGUUGUGUGUGUGCGUGUUGAAUGUGGUUGUUGGUGGGGCUGACUCUGGGCGGCCAAGAAUGAAAAAAAAUAAAAUGUAUAUGUAUGUAUGGUGUGUGUUGUGUGUGUGUUGACAUGUGUGGUUGUUGUUGCUGUUGUGGUGUUGUUGCUGAUGUAUGGGUGUAUAUGAUGUGUGAUUGUCGGUGUGUGCUGCUCACUGUUUGUGCGCUGGUGUUGUGUGUGGUGUGUUGUGCCUGUGGUUUGAUGAUUGGAGGUGGGAUGGGCA